GUUGACAGUUAAAAAGCUCGUAGUUGAAAUUUGGAACUUUAUUGUAUUGGUUUAUCUUUUGAUGAACUGUAUAAUGGGUUUCUUCCUACUAGAGUUCGAUUCUGUUCUUAAUUGAAUGGAGUAGCUAUCUUUCGGGGUAGUCAGUUUGGUUAUUAUGUCUCCACUAAUGAGCAGAGAGGGGUAAAACCUUCAAAGUAAGUUUUGUGGAUCAAGGUAUAGUGAUUAAUUGGAGUUCUAGUUCGUUUACUUUGAGAAAAUUAGAGUGUUUUAAAAGCAAGCCUCUUGGGGCACUGAAUACAUUAGCAUGGGAUAAUAAAAAUAGGGAUCUUCACAAUAUAUUUUAUUGGUUUUAAAUUGCGUAUGAAGAUAAUGAUUAAUAGGGACAGUUGGGGUAUUCAUAUUGGGUGGUUAGCGGUGAAAAUGCUCGGAUCCAUUCAAGAUGAACUA
rnacentral:rRNA from 1 species